rnacentral:siRNA from 1 species
GAGGACGGGUUGGCGAGACGG